rnacentral:rRNA from 1 species
UACGGGGGGUGCGAGCGUUGUCCGGAAUCACUGGGCGUAAAGGGCGCGUAGGCGGUUGGAUAAGUCUUGUGUGAAAUCUUCGGGCUCAACUCGAAGUCUGCACGAGAAACUAUCUGGCUUGAGUGUGGGAGAGGUGAGUGGAAUUCCUGGUGUAGCGGUGAAAUGCGUAGAUAUCAGGAGGAACACCUGUGGCGAAAGCGGCUCACUGGACCACAACUGACGCUGAGGCGCGAAAGCUAGGGGAGCAAACAGG